GAUGAACGCUGGUGGCGUGCCUAAUACAUGCAAGUCGAGCGAACAGACGAGGAGCUUUCUCCUCUGACUUUAUCGGCGGACGGGUGAUUAACACGUGGAUAACCUACCUAUCAGACUGGGAUACCUUCGGGAAACCGUAGCUAAUACCGGAUAAUAUAUUGCACUGCAUGGUUCAAUAGUGAAAUACGGUUUUUCUGUCACUUAUAGAUUGAUACGCGCCGCAUUAGCUAGUUGGUAAGGUAACGGCUUACCAAGGCAACGAGGCGUAGCCGACCUGAGAGGGUGGUCGGACACACGGGAACUGAGACAGGGUCCAGACACCUACGGGAGGAAGCAGUAGGGAAUCUUACGCAAGGGGCGAAAGCGUGACGGAGCAAAGCCGCGUGAAGGAUGAAGGUGUUAGGAUCGGAAAGCGAUGUUAGUAGGGAAGAACAAAAGUGUAAGUAACCAGGAAGGUAAUGACGGUACCUAAACAGAAAGCCACGGCUAGCUACGUG
rnacentral:rRNA from 1 species